GACGAACGCUGGCGGCGUGCUUAACACAUGCAAGUCGAACGGAAAGGCCCUGCUUGCCGGGUACUCGAGUGGCGAACGGGUGAGUAACACGUGGGUGAUCUGCCCUGCACUUCGGGAUAAGCUUGGGAAACUGGGUCUAAUACCGGAUAGGAGCCAUCUUUAGUGUGGUGGUUGGAAAGUUUUUUCGGUGUAGGAUGAGCUCGCGGCCUAUCAGCUUGUUGGUGGGGUAAUGGCCUACCAAGGCGGCGACGGGUAGCCGGCCUGAGAGGGGGUACGGCCACAUUGGGACUGAGAUACGGCCCAGACUCCUCCGGGGGGGAGCAGUGGGGAAUAUUGCACAAUGGGCGCAAGCCUGAUGCAGCGACGCCGCGUGGGGGAUGAAGGCCUUCGGGUUGUAAACUCCUUUCGCUAGGGACGAAGCUUUGUUGUGACGGUACCUAGAUAAGAAGCACCGGCUAACUACGUG
rnacentral:rRNA from 1 species